CUUUCGGUUUUUCUUGCAGCCCUUUAUUUUGUUGCAGUGGCUACCUUUGCUGCAUUGGUGGGGCUCCACGUGGUCAGAAAGCUCGUUAAAAUACUUGGUAGGGCGUCGUUGAUCAUCUUCAUCCUCGCCUUCACCAUCUUUGUGAGCGCGAUUUCACUAGGUUGGGUUGGAAUUGAAAACAUCAUCGGAAGCGAAGACCGUGGGCAUGACUUGUGGUUUUACAACUUUUGUGAAUACGACAACAAGCCUUAGUUGCUGCCUCAAUUUCAUGUACAGACUUUUGUACUAAACUUUUGUCUUGUUUUUCGCCGUUGUAAGAAGCUAUAUUUAAGUACUUGAUGACAUAAGUACUAAAAUCAAGAGUUAAUGUAUGUCCAACUACCCUCUUGUUAUCA